GGCUAACUACGUGCCAGCAGCCGCGGUAAUACGUAGGUGACAAGCGUUAUCCGGAUUUAUUGGGCGUAAAGGGUGCGUAGGCGGCAGUUUAAGUUUAAGGUGAAAGCGUUGGGCUCAACCCAAUACAGCGUAAAAACUGGACAGCUAGAGUGCAGGAGAGGUUAGCGGAAUUCCAUGUGUAGCGGUAAAAUGCGUAGAUAUAUGGAGGAACACCAGUGGCGAAGGCGGCUAACUGGCCUGUAACUGACGCUGAGGCACGAAAGCGUGGGGAGCAAAUAGGAUUAGAUACCCUAGUAGUCCACGCUGUAAACGAUGAAUACUAAGUGUUGGGGAAACUCAGUGCUGCAGUUAACGCAAUAAGUAUUCCGCCUGGGGAGUAUGCACGCAAGUGUGAAACUCAAAGGAAUUGACGGGGACCCGCACAAGCGGUGGAUUAUGUGGUUUAAUUCGACGCAACGCGAAGAACCUUACCAAGCCUUGACAUCCCGAGCAAAUCUAUAGAGAUAUAGAGGAGGUUAUCUCGGUGACAGGUGGUGCAUGGUUGUCGUCAGCUCGUGUCGUGAGAUGUUGGGUUAAGUCCCGCAACGAGCGCAACCCUUGUCUUUAGUUACCAGCAUUAAGUUGGGGACUCUAGAGAGACUGCCGGUGACAAACCGGAGGAAGGUGGGGAUGACGUCAAAUCAGCAUGCCCCUUAUGGCUUGGGCUACACACGUAAUACAAUGGCGUAUACAAAGGGAAGCGACCCAGUGAUGGUGAGCAAAUCUCAUAAAGUACGUCUCAGUUCGGAUUGGAGUCUGCAACUCGACUCCAUGAAGUUGGAAUCGCUAGUAAUCGCGAAUCAGCAUGUCGCGGUGAAUACGUUCUCGGGUCUUGCACACACCGCCCGU
rnacentral:rRNA from 1 species